rnacentral:rRNA from 1 species
UGGGGAAUAUUGGACAAUGGGCGAAAGCCUGAUCCAGCCAUGCCGCGUGUGUGAAGAAGGUCUUCGGAUUGUAAAGCACUUUAAGUUGGGAGGAAGGGCUGCAAGUUAAUACCUUGUAGUUUUGACGUUACCAACAGAAUAAGCACCGGCUAACUUCGUGCCAGCAGCCGCGGUAAUACGAAGGGUGCAAGCGUUAAUCGGAAUUACUGGGCGUAAAGCGCGCGUAGGUGGUUUGGUAAGAUGGAUGUGAAAUCCCCGGGCUCAACCUGGGAACUGCAUCCAGAACUGCCUGACUAGAGUACGGUAGAGGGUGGUGGAAUUUCCUGUGGAGCGGUGAAAUGCGUAGAUAUAGGAAGGAACACCAGUGGCGAAGGCGACCACCUGGACUGAUACUGACACUGAGGUGCGAAAGCGUGGGGAGCAAACG